CAUAAUCUACAAAUAAUUUGCAAAUCAACUUAAAAGUUAAAAAUCAUUGAAUUUCUUAGUGAACUAAAUAAUAACAUAAGCUUCUAAACAACGCAAGUAACAACAUGAGGACUUAUACUUUUGAUCCAGAAUUUUACUAACCUAAUCUGAAUUUUGCAUUAUUAAACUACCAGAAUAUAUUGUUGGAAGGAAGCUUUAAUAGGUGGAGAAAGUGUUUAAGUAUUUGAGAGAGGAUAUGAAACUUGUUGGAAGGGAAUGCUACUUAUAUUAUUGAGUGUUUAUAAUUUUUUUUGCUUGGUUUACAAAUGACUACCUCUCCCCUAUUUAUAGUUUUCAAGGGAGAGUUCUACAUACUCCUAGAGACUCUUCUACAUACUUCUAAGAGAGAGUUCUACAUAAUAUUCUAUGAGAGAGUUCUUUCUACACACUUCUCUCUACUACUACAUAUUAUAACUUCUACUAGUUAUUUCUACAUAUCUUUAGAACAUUCUUUAGACUUACUACUUAUUACUAAGUUUGGGCUUAAAAUUCCUAAGGCCCAAAAUUAACAAACCCAAAAUCAAUUUUCAUAUUCAACAUAUAUCUGAUUCAUCUUGGGGUUUAGAUUCAUUUUUGGGGAUUAUUUCAUCAAAUUUUAAGU
rnacentral:lncRNA from 1 species